CAGGAUGAACGCUGGCGGCGKGCUUAACACAUGCAAGUCGAACGAUGAUAGCCCAGCUUGCUGGGUGGAUUAGUGGCGAACGGGUGAGUAACACGUGAGUAACCUGCCCUKAACUCUGGGAUAAGCCUGGGAAACUCGKUCUAAUACCGGAUAGGAGCSUCCMCCSCAUGKUGGGUGUUGGAAAGAUUUAUCGGUUUUGGAUGGACUCGCGGCCUAUCAGCUUGUUGGUGAGGUAAUGGCUCACCAAGGCGACGACGGGUAGCCGGCCUGAGAGGGUGACCGGCCACACUGGGACUGAGACACGGCCCAGACUCCUACGGGAGGCAGCAGUGGGGAAUAUUGCACAAUGGGCGAAAGCCUGAUGCAGCGACGCCGCGUGAGGGAUGACGGCCUUCGGGUUGUAAACCUCUUUCAGUAGGGAAGAAGCGAAAGUGACGGUACCUGCAGAAGAAGCACCGGCUAACUACGUGCCAGCAGCCGCGGUAAUACGUAGGGUGCGAGCGUUAUCCGGAAUUAUUGGGCGUAAAGAGCUCGUAGGCGGUUUGUCGCGUCUGUYGUGAAAGUCCGGGGCUYAACCYCGGAUCUGCRGUGGGUACGGGCAGACUAGAGUGCAGUAGGGGAGACUGGAAUUCCUGGUGUAGCGGUGGAAUGCGCAGAUAUCAGGAGGAACACCGAUGGCGAAGGCAGGUCUCUGGGC
rnacentral:rRNA from 1 species